rnacentral:rRNA from 1 species
UACAGAGGUCUCAAGCGUUGUUCGGAUUCAUUGGGCGUAAAGGGCGCGUAGGCGGCGGGGUCAGUCGGGUGUGAAAUCUUGGGGCUUAACCCCGAAACGGCACUCGAAACUGCCCGGCUGGAGGGCCGGAGAGGAGAUCGGAAUUCACGGUGUAGCAGUGAAAUGCGUAGAGAUCGUGAGGAAGACCCGUGGCGAAGGCGGAUCUCUGGACGGCUAAAACUGACGCUGAGGCGACGAAGGCCAGGGGAGCAAACAGG